AGAACACAUCCUGGAAGUCUCGGACUAUCAGAAUCUCUCGAAUAUAAAUUUUUUUCUUAGGUUUGCCUAGUUAGAGAAAAUAGCCGAGUUAAAGCACUUAGUAAUAGAAAAAUUGCCAUGAAGGAAUAACGUUUAAAGAAUUUUAUUAAUUUGUAAAUGACUCUUCAUUAGGAGGGUUGAAUAUAAAUUUCUUGUGAAAAUAAUCUAUGGUGGCGUGAAACACUGCUAGCU
rnacentral:lncRNA from 1 species